CAGCAGCCGCGGUAAUACGGAGGGUGCAAGCGUUGUCCGGAAUCAUUGGGUGUAAAGGGUGCGUAGGCGGGCGUCUAAGUCUGGGGUGAAAUCUUGCCGCUUAACGGUAAAAUGGCCUUGGAUACUGGGCGUCUUGAGUGUAGAAGAGGUAAGUGGAAUUCGUAGUGUAGCGGUGAAAUGCAUAGAUAUUACGAAGAACAUCAGUGGCGAAGGCGGCUUACUGGUCUACAACUGACGCUGAGGCACGAAAGCGUGGGGAGCGAACAGGAUUAGAUACCCUGGUAGU
rnacentral:rRNA from 11 species